AUCACUUUUCGGCCUUUUGGCUGAGAUCAAGUGUAGUAUCUGCUCUUAUCAGUUUAAUAACCCAUAAAUAAAUUUUAUAUUCUGAGCACUUACAGAAUUUCUAAGAGUUAUUUUUU
ensembl:snRNA U2 U2 spliceosomal RNA